rnacentral:snoRNA from 1 species
CCCUGCUGUAGGCAACUGCCUAGGUUGCAUUAUACCUAGGUAAGUGUUACAUUGCUGAGAGAAAAUUAGCCAAUAGCUGGCAGGCAUCCUGUCCCUGGUUAAUGCUAAACGUAUUAAUUAU